rnacentral:rRNA from 1 species
AACGAACGCUGGCGGCAGGCCUAACACAUGCAAGUCGAGCGCCCUUUCGGGGGAGCGGCGGACGGGUGAGUAACGCGUGGGCAUAUGCCCUUCUCUACGGAAUAGCCUCGGGAAACUGAGAGUAAUACCGUAUACGCCCUGUGGGGGAAAGAUUUAUCGGGGAAGGAUUAGCCCGCGUUGGAUUAGGUAGUUGGUGGGGUAAUGGCCUACCAAGCCGACGAUCCAUAGCUGGUUUGAGAGGAUGAUCAGCCACACUGGGACUGAGACACGGCCCAGACUCCUACGGGAGGCAGCAGUGGGGAAUCUUAGACAAUGGGGGCAACCCUGAUCUAGCCAUGCCGCGUGAGUGAUGAAGGCCUUAGGGUUGUAAAGCUCUUUCAGCUGGGAAGAUAAUGACGGUACCAGCAGAAGAAGCCCCGGCUAACUCCGU